CUAUGAACAGCGCACUGUGCCAGAUAAGCUCAAAUCAGCAUGUGGAACAGCCAUGGAGAGAUUCAGGAAUACAAUUGCACAGCACAGCCAACUUCCUUCAGUCAUUGCUCACAGAGCUGGACAGACUCCACUUCUCCUGGGCCUGAGGAUUCACCUUCCUUUUGGCACUCUGUCGCUGGAGUUGUUUCAGGGACAAUGGGACAUUCACAGCAUUUUCUUACAUUCUUAUAUCCAGUAGCACAUAGUUAACACCGUUUCUUCUAAUUUUAGCUGAAUGUGAACUGAAAAGCUGAAGUGCCUUUCCUGGAGGCCCAUAUCUGUUUGACUGACCCAUGACCCUAUUACUACAUGCUGCUGCUAUGCUUCAUGGCAUUCCACACCUGCACUGUGCUGCUCUUGACAUUAGCAUCACUUAAUAUGAGCAGAG
ensembl:lncRNA